rnacentral:rRNA from 1 species
GAUGAACGCUAGCGGCAGGCUUAACACAUGCAAGUCGAGGGGUAGAAGCAGCUUGCUGCUUUGAGACCGGCGCACGGGUGCGUAACGCGUAUGCAAUCUACCUUUUACAGAGGGAUAGCCCAGAGAAAUUUGGAUUAAUACCUCAUAGUAUGUGAGAAUCGCAUGGUUUUCACAUUAAAGUUCCAACGGUAAAAGAUGAGCAUGCGUCCCAUUAGCUAGAUGGUAAGGUAACGGCUUACCAUGGCGACGAUGGGUAGGGGUCCUGAGAGGGUGGUCCCCCACACUGGUACUGAGACACGGACCAGACUCCUACGGGAGGCAGCAGUGAGGAAUAUUGGUCAAUGGGCGCAAGCCUGAACCAGCCAUGCCGCGUGCAGGAAGACGGUCCUAUGGAUUGGUAAACUGCUUUUGUACAGGAAGAAACACUCCCUCGUGAGGGAGCUUGACGGUACUGUAAGAAUAAGGAUC